rnacentral:rRNA from 1 species
UACGGAGGGCGCAAGCGGUGUUCGGAAUCAUUGGGCGUAAAGCGCGUGUAGGCGGCCAUUUAAGUCGGAUGUGAAAGCCCGGGGCCCAACCCCGGAACUGCAUUCGAUACUGAGUGGCUGGAGUCCCGGAGAGGAAGGCGGAAUUCCCGGUGUAGAGGUGAAAUUCGUAGAUAUCGGGAGGAACAUCAGUGGCGCAGGCGGCCUUCUGGACGGUGACUGACGCUGAGACGCGAAAGCGUGGGGAGCAAACAGG